UAAAAGAAACUGCAGUGAAGCAUUUGGAGCC
rnacentral:piRNA from 1 species